rnacentral:lncRNA from 1 species
GAGUGAGAAAUAGGAUGGUGGGAGAAGGGAAGGAAGAAGAGAAGCUGUGGUACCAGGAGAAAGACUUGAGGGACAAGGAAGAAGAGUCAGAACAAAACAUCCAACUUUGUGAAACUGAGUGGAAAAAAGGAAACAUUCUGGCUAAGGAAGAUCCAUUAUAGCCUUUGCCAAUGCUUACACUUCAUUUCACUAAGAAGGAAAAUCCCAUCAAGUACCCCCAGGAUCUGGUUGGUUAAAGUAAUGGGUAGAUUCAUUCAUGCAUAUUAGCCUAAUGAAUUUUCAUCAACCCUAAGGGAAGUAGUGUUAUCCUUUGAAUUUUAGUAAAGAAAUGAAAAGUCAUAGAAAGUCACAGAACUUAGUAGUGGAACUGAAAUUCAAACCCAAGCCUUUUACUCCAAGCCACACCUUUUUGUCACACUACAUAACUGGCUAACAUUUGGCCAUUUAGCAUAUUUGGCAGUGUGUUAGGAACUUGGCAAUAACUGUGAAUAAUUUUAGCUUAUUGGCCCUCGCUAAUAUCCUUUGGUUGUUAAAUUCUAUUGUUGAGCUAUGGUGACAAGUAUCUACAAAUCAUUGACUAAAGGUUCUCUUUGAAACCAGCCUGAAUCUGCUUUGUUUUACCUUAUUAUGAGUAAAUUCCUUUUUGAUAUCCAAAAGAUCAAAGAGAACAUGAGGUUUAAGGUCCUGCAGGUCUUGUAACAUCAACAUUCUAUGCCAUUUUAAACUUCAUAAUCCAAAUCCAGUGUCCUUAUUUUAAGAAAGCUGUAUCUUCUAGAAGGCUAACAUUCAAAUGCAGAGGGAAAAUACAGACACACUCUGGGAUUGCACUCUUGCAUUCACAUUUUGCAUAGCUUCAAGUUCAUAGAAAUUCAGAACAGCAUAAAAAUUUCUCAAGGUAUUUAAUCUUACAGGAAACACUUAUUUGUGGAUAUUCCAUCUCUUAUGAAAUAGAUUACCAAAAAGGCAAUAAUCUUUAUGUCUUGCAUUUUUGGCUUCUCUCAUUCCAGCAUUUUGUAAAUGAUCCUAAAAAAUGGCACAUUAGAUCCUUGAAGUAUAAAUGGAUAUUUUGUGAAUAUCGAUGUACACUAUUGUAUAGUACCCAAGUGUAAGUGAUUCAUAAAGCCUAUUGGCAUUUA